rnacentral:lncRNA from 1 species
CGGGCUGACGCCUGGGGCUGGGAGCUUCAUCGGGGUCUCCCACAUCAGGACAGGGCCCCAAGCACUUGGCCCGUCCUCUGCUGCCUUCCCAGGCGCGUUAGCAGGGAGCUGGAUCGGAAGUGGAGCAGCUGGGACUCGAACUGGCACCCAUAUGGGAUGCCGGUGUUGCCGGUGGCAGCUUUACCAGCUACGCCGCGGCUCUGGCCCCUGUAACAUGCAUUUUCCAUGCACUUUUUGACAAGCCGUGUAGGAUGCUGCAGGAUUUUGGUCAGGAAUGGAAUACAGUAAAGAACGUUGGGAAAAAUUGAAACAGAGUGCUCAUUCACGCUCUUCCCUUGAACAGAAUGACGAAACGUUUCCUGCAACAACUCUGCAAGCAGCACAAGCUUUACGUCACCCCAGCGCUGAACGAUUCGCUGUACUUGCACUUUAAAGGUGAGCCUUCACGCUGUACUUACACCGUACAGUGAGCCUUUACACUGUACUUAGACUGUACAGGUGAGCCUUCACGCUGUACUUACACUGUACAGUGAGCCUUCACGCUGUACUUAGACUGUACAGUGAACCUUCACGCUGUACUCACACUGUACAGGGGAGCCUUCACGCUGUAAUUACACUGUACAGUGAGCCUUUACGCUGUACUUAGACUGUACAGGUGAGCCUUCACGCUGUACUUACACUGUACAGGGAGCCUUUACGCUGUACUUACAUUGUGCAGGUGAGCCUUUACGCUGUACUUAGACUGUACGGGGAGCCUUUUACGCUGUAUUUACACUGUACAGUGAGCCUUUACGCUGUACUUAGACUGUACAGGUGAGCCUUUACGCUGUACUCACACUGUGCAGGUGAUCCUUUAUGCUGCACUUACACUGUACAGUGAGCCUUCACACUGUACUUACACUUACAGGGAGCCUUUAUGCUGUACUUACACUGUAUAGCUGAGCCUUUAUGCUGUACUUACAACUGUUCAGGGAGCCUUUACCCUGUACUCACACUGUACAGUGAGCCUUUACGCUGUACUUACACUGUACAGGGAGCCUUUACGCUGUACUUACACUGCACAGUGAGCCUUUAUGCUGUACUUACACUGUACAGUGAGCGUUUAUGCUGUACUUACACUGUACAGGGAGCCUUUAUGCUGUACUACACUGUGCAGGUGAUCCUUUACGCUGUACUUACACUGUACAGGGAGCCUUUACGCUGUACUUACACUGUACAGGGAGCCUUUAUGCUGUACUUACACUGUACAGUGAGCGUUUAUGCUGUACUUACACUGUACAGGGAGCCUUUUACGCUGUACUUACACUGUACAGGGGAGCCUUUACACUGUACUACACUGUGCAGUGAUCCUUUACGCUGUACUUACACUGUACAGGGAGCCUUUACGCUGUACUUACACUGUACAGGGAGCCUUUACGCUGUACUACACUGUGCAGGUGAGCCUUUACACUGUAUUAACACUGUACAGGUGAGCCUUUACACUGUAUUAACACUGUACAGGUGAGCCUUUACACUGUAUUAACACUGUGCAGGUGAGCGCCGCGCCCAGCAGCUGCUCCUGUCCGGGAGUAGACUCUGCCGGGUGGAAUCAAACCACUGUCCCUCAGGUCAUAUUUCUAAGUGGAUAUUUCAGUUUUAGAGGAGAUUUGUGGAAGAGAAAUAAUAGUUAUGUCGAGAAAAAGUCAUGCCUGUCUGUAUUGGGUACAUAUGGAUACCAAAGAAACACAUUGCUAUCUUUUAUUUAUGUUUUCUAAGGACUUAGAAAUGUUCUUUAAUUUUUGAAAAGAUCUCAUUUCAAAGGCAGAGGAGUAGAGAGAGGCAGAGAAACAGAGAAAGAAAGAGAGAGAAAGAGAUCUUCCACCUGUUGGUUCAUUCCCCAAAUACCUGCAGCAGCCAAGGCUGGGCACAGCCACAGCCGGGAACCCAGCACUCCAUCCACGUCUCCUGUGCCAGUGCCAGGGACCCACGUACUUGGGCCAUCAUCUGCUGCCUCCCGCGGUGCGCACUGGCAGGAUGCCGGAUCGGAAGCAGAGUGGCCGGGACUCAGUCCCCCAGGCACCUCACGGCGCCGCACGCCCACCCUGACUUAGAAUUCCUCAAAGCAGGAAGCUGGUUUGCGAGUUCUCGGGUGUGGGGAUGAUACGUUAUGAGGGACGGAAGGCUGGUGUGCACAACAAAGGAAGAGGUCUCUGCGGAGGGGGUGGGCAGGGGCAGCCCCUAGAGCUCAAGGUCAGGUUCGUGGGCGGAGCUAUUCCGGCAGUGAUGUUGGGCAGUGCCCUUGGGAAAUUCUUAGGCUGUGAAAACCAGGCCGACUAAGAAGAAGUCUUGGCCGGCGCCGCGGCUCACUAGGCUAAUCCUCCACCUAGCGGCACCGACACACCGGGUUCUAGUCCCGGUCGGGGCACCGGAUUCUGUCCCGGUUGCCCCUCUUCCAGGCCAGCUCUCUGCUGUGGCCCGGGAGUGCAGUGGAGGAUGGCCCAAGUGCUUGGGCCCUGCACCCCAUG